GGGGAAAAUACGUACCAGUUUUAUUCUUAUGAGAAUAAUGAAAGUUGGUCUACUACAUCAACUGUUAACAAAAGGAUAAUAAUACUAAUAAUAGAAUUGCAAAAUUGACAAAGAACCAACUAUUCAAAAGAAGUACAUGGGGAGCUCAGCUCAGUCUUCUGCUGCCUGCACUUCUGCUUGAAACUAACAUCAACACAAGAGAGUCUGUCUUUUCUUCGCGUGCGUUUCACCCCUUACCAAGUUUAACAAAUAUCCAAACAUAACACACUUUUCUUUUCUAUUAAGCUGUGGUGAUCUUUGCACUUUCUUCUUUGUGAUCACCGAAAAUACGUUGCCUGAAGUCUUGAACCAUCAUAGGCAAACCAUUUCUAAGAGCCACUUUCGGUUCCCAACCAAGUAACUCUUUAGCCUUUGAGAUAUCAGGUUUUCGCUUGUGUGGGUCAUCUUCUGUGUUUGGUUUGUGUACAAUCUGUGCAUUUGGGUCAAUGGUUUCCUGGACCACCUUAGCAAGUUCAAGCAUUGUGAAUUCACCAGGGUUUCCGAGGUUGAAGGGUCCGACAUGUUCUCCUUCCAUCAACCGCAUUAAGCCUUCAACCAGAUCUGAAACAAAUUGGAAACUUCUUGUUUGUUUCCCAUCACCAUAAACUGUCAAAGGCUCUUUCCUUAAAGCCUGAGCGACAAAGUUGCUGACAACGCGACCGUCAUCAAUACACAUACGAGGUCCAUAAGUGUUAAAGAUCCUAGCGAUUCUCACCUCAACUUCUGCACCUCUGUGAUAAUCCAUUGUCAAUGUUUCAGCUGUUCGUUUUCCCUCAUCGUAGCAACUUCGGACACCAAUAGGAUUAACAUUGCCCCAGUAUGUCUCCUUCUGUGGAUGUUCUAAAGGAUCACCGUAUACUUCGCUAGUGCUGGUUAGCAAAAACCUCGCACCGACUCUUUUAGCCAAUCCCAGCAUGUUCAAAGUACCAACUACAUUAGUCUUGAUAGUUUUGACGGGAUUAUGCUUGUAAUGAACGGGAGAAGCAGGGCAAGCGAGAUGAUAGAUCUGGUCAACUUCAAGCAAAAGUGGCUCAACAACAUCAUGUCUAAUAAGCUCAAACCUAGGGUUACCAAAAUGAUGCAUAACGUUCUCUUUCCGUCCGGUGAAGAAAUUAUCAACGACGAUCACACUAUCACCUCUCGCAAUCAAACGAUCCACUAAAUGACUACCAACAAAACCAGCACCACCAGUCACCACAAUCCUCAAAACCUUCCGCUUUAAUCCCAACGGAAUCUUCCCACCGGAAUUAAUCGACCCGAACCCGACCCGAUUAUGAUAGAUCAUCCGGUGAGCCACCUGAGACUCAGUCGACUCCGACGGUAAGUACGAAUCGUAGAUCCCGGUGUUAGCGUAGCUCGAUCCUCCGGAGGAACGAGAAGACGGUAAAAAAGCAAAAAUUAGAGAAGCGAUAGCAAUGCCUGCGAAUAGAAAAACAAUUCUCUGUUCUCGGAGCAAGUAACGAAGGGGACGAAUUACAGUAAACCAUGGUUUAUGUGGUUUGGGAGUGUAACCGUCGGUCACCGGAACUGAUUCCGGUCCACGAUAAAUCAAUUCGGAAGUCAUGAUUUAUUUAUUUUUCUUCUCUCAAAAUUGUGUUGAAAAAGAGAGAGAAAAGAAGAUAGU
rnacentral:misc_RNA from 1 species